rnacentral:rRNA from 1 species
CGGACGGGUGAGUAACGCGUGGAAAACCUGCCGUAUACUGGGGGAUAACACUUAGAAAUAGGUGCUAAUACCGCAUAAGCGCACAGCUUCGCAUGAAGCGGUGUGAAAAACUCUGGUGGUAUACGAUGGUUCCGCGUCUGAUUAGCUAGUUGGUGGGGUAAUGGCCUACCAAGACAACGAUCAGUAGCCGGCCUGAGAGGGUGAACGGCCACAUUGGGACUGAGACACGGCCCAAACUCCUACGGGAGGCAGCAG